GUCAUCGCAUUCACAAAUUUAGGUGUCCACGCUGCCCGUCGGCCCUGUGGGGUGACGGCAAUACCCCAUCAGUCUUUUACAGGACCUUUCAAGCCCCUGAUAAGAUGAAUCACAGUUGGAAAGAGCUAAUAAACAAAGAAGAAAAAGGAAUCAGUGGCUUCAUUUUCAACUUUUAAAAACGCAGG